UACGGAGGAUGCGAGCGUUAUCCAGAUUUAUUGGGUUUAAAGGGUGCGUAGGCGGACGCUUAAGUCAGCGGUAAAAUUGCGGGGCUCAACCUCGUCGAGCCGUUGAAACUGGGUGCCUUGAGUGGGCGAGAAGUACGCGGAAUGCGUGGUGUAGCGGUGAAAUGCAUAGAUAUCACGCAGAACUCCGAUUGCGAAGGCAGCGUACCGGCGCCCAACUGACGCUGAAGCACGAAGGCGUGGGUAUCGAACAGG
rnacentral:rRNA from 1 species